AGGAAGAAAAACCACAACAAUCUUGCGGCCUGAUUGGACCCGAUCGCUUUUAAAACACAAGAGCACAACAAGUUAAAGUCUGAUGUGAGUGGAGAAAAAAAAGCACAAAGUUUCCGAUUUGAAGACAUUUCUCUUCCCGUCAUUGUUGAACCUGAGGACUGAAAGUCCAGCGGAAUAUGCAAAAUUAGAGACCUGAGAAACUAUUCAGCUGAAAGAUCAGUGGAGCCACCGUCAAGUAGUGAGGACAACCAGCUGGUUGGAUUUUGUGUGCAUUCUAAGAAGACCUGGAGGGAUGUCUGGGAGAAAAGAGAAGAUGGAUAUGCAUCAUUUAUCCUCAGGAAACAGUGUGUUUCAGGCAGCAAAACGUUCCUGCUCCAGCAGUACCUGAAGAAGAAAGAGGCUCAGACUCAGAGUUCCUCUUCCUAAACCUUUUUCUAGUCCUCCAGUGUCUUCUUUAGAGAUGGAAGAUGAUGAAAAGUUGGAGAGAAUUAUGCUUUCUGUCUCUCCAUUCAAACUCCUCCCUUUACAAGAGCAGAGACAUUAGUGAAGAAGAUGACAGGACCAACGUGUUUACCAACAAUCCCAAGUGAGCAGCACCAACGUGCACGGAUCAUGCAUCACGUUCAUCGAGCAUUACUUAAAAAUACGACUAGAUCAACAGCUUCUUUAUUAAAGGAUCUACAAACGCCUUGAGUGGAGGCAUUUAUAGAUGAAAAUAAUUCAUGAAAUAAAAAGAUAAUAAAAAA